rfam:Sorghum bicolor cultivar BTx623 chromosome 7, whole genome shotgun sequence.
GUUGUCGGAUUCACUUUAAUUCACGUGUGUUGGUGUGGAUUGGGGUGAAGUUUAGUUCAAAUUUUACUCCAGUCCACCUCAACACAUGUGGAUUGAUAUGAAUCCGACU